rnacentral:rRNA from 1 species
CAGCCGCCGCGGUAAUACCGGCGGCCCGAGUGGCGGCCACUAUUAUUGGGCUUAAAGCGUCCGUAGCCGGGUUGGUUAGUCUCCCGGGAAAUCUGGCCGCUUAACGGUCAGAAUUCCGGGAGAUACUGCCAGCCUAGGGACCGGGAGAGGCCGAGGGGAUUCCCGGAGUAGGGGUGAAAUCCUAUAAUCCCGGGAGGACCACCUGUGGCGAAGGCGCUCGGCUGGAACGGGUCCGACGGUGAGGGACGAAGGCCAGGGGAGCAAACCGGAUUAGAUACCCGGGUAGUCCUGGCUGUAAAGGAUGCGGGCUAGGUGUCGGGUGAGCUUCGAGCUCGCCCGGUGCCGUAGGGAAGCCGUUAAGCCCGCCGCCUGGGGAGUACGGCCGCAAGGCUGAAACUUAAAGGAAUUGGCGGG